GUCGAGCGGUAAGGCCCUUCGGGGUACACGAGCGGCGAACGGGUGAGUAACACGUGAGCAACCUGCCCCUGACUCCGGGAUAAGCGGUGGAAACGCCGUCUAAUACCGGAUACGACCCUCCACCUCAUGGUGGUGGGUGGAAAGUUUUUCGGUCGGGGAUGGGCUCGCGGCCUAUCAGCUUGUUGGUGGGGUAACGGCCUACCAAGGCGAUUACGGGUAGCCGGCCUGAGAGGGCGACCGGCCACACUGGGACUGAGACACGGCCCAGACUCCUGCGGGAGGCAGCAGUGGGGAAUAUUGCGCAAUGGGCGAAAGCCUGACGCAGCGACGCCGCGUGGGGGAUGACGGCCUUCGGGUUGUAAACCUCUUUUACCACUCACGCAGGCUCCACGUUUUCGUGGGGUUGACGGUAGGUGGGGAAUAAGGACCGGCUAACUACGUGCCAGCAGCCGCGGUAAUACGUAGGGUCCGAGCGUUGUCCGGAAUUAUUGGGCGUAAAGAGCUCGUAGGCGGCGUGUCGCGUCUGCUGUGAAAGACCGGGGCUUAACCCCGGUUCUGCAGUGGAUACGGGCAUGCUAGAGGUAGGUAGGGGAGACUGGAAUUCCUGGUGUAGCGGUGAAAUGCGCAGAUAUCAGGAGGAACACCGGUGGCGAA
rnacentral:rRNA from 1 species